AUACAAUCGAGGUGCACUCGUUCGUGAAUUCGUCAGAUGAACGUUCGUAACUCACGCACACCGCAAACGCCAAGGUCGGAGGUUGCGAAAAGUAUCGUCAUCAGUAUACAUGACAUAUACCGAUACUAUUUGUGCGUCAGCUAUAUAACGUAUGCUUGGAGAGAUUCUGCUUGUGACACUCCCCGUAAAUCUUUCCUCUGAAAGAUAUCGAAUUUCGAGGUGAGACUUUAUCCCUGUAGGCUUCGAAGGAUCGACUGCUGAUGCAUACAAAAACAACUCGUGGUGUUUUUCCGAUUUUAUUCCGAGGCGGAUAUCCUCGAGUAUAAAACUCACACGUUUGCAUUGACGAUAUCUUUUGAUUUGCAAAUGACGUUAACGCGGCACACUGAAUACGGUCGAGUGAACAUGGGACUAUCGCGAUCAGCUAAAAUCACAGACUAAAAGUAAAUGUAUACCCUCCGAGAGAAGCAGCCAAGCCAAAAAAUAUCAACGGAAAAAUUUGUCUCGUGAAACUAUGAGUGUCCUACUUUGUACUUCGCGAAUUCGCUCGACAAGUUUCCCUUUUACUUUUAUUUUAUCCAUUACGAUUUUCCGUGUACGAAAUUCGUACACGACUUAUUUUAAUUCUCAUACAUAUUGUUUAUUGUUUCUUAUGUAUACUUCUUAUGUAUAUUGUUUCUUCUUCAUAUCUUAAUAUUAAGUAUAAUUAAUUUAUAUUAGUAAUUAUAUAUUAGUAAUUAUAUUUAUAUCAGUAAUUAUACAGAGCAAGAUCAAUACUAUUCCUAUUAAAUCGCUCUUAAUUUAUUUAUUAUUCACGGGAAACUGACUCAACGCGGUCACGUAUCCACACGUGAAGGUCAUUGGAGCGUGAGCUCUUCUAAUCUUCUCAAAGAGGCGCACAACAGGAUAAUUGGACACGAUCGUGUGAUGUGCUCAUACAUACAAGCAAGCACGAUGACAUGUACACACUUUUUCGAGCAUUGCGACACUGUUGCUUAUUAAGCAAUAAGAAAGCAAUAAGAGAGACGAUGUUUGACAAUAUAUACAUUAUUAGUUAUAACAGAUAUAGAAAAGUGUUAUGAAUUUUUUUUAAUAAUAAUCAUUAUUUAAUUAGCA